rnacentral:misc_RNA from 1 species
AACGCAACUUGCGCCAUGUAUAUGGCAUGUCUGUUUGAGUGCCGCAAUAACAAUGCGUAAUGUGUAUUGACGAUUGUCCACUGGGGACUCUGUCUAAAUGCAGCCAGUAAUGUCGUGGACUGUGAUAGUCCGAGUGCCAAGCAUUCUUGGUCUAAUCACAACUGCGGCCGAGGGUGGGCUAGUGGUGGGAUGAUUGUGUGCAAACCGUCAUCGGUGGGAUGAUUGUGUGCAAACCGUGUCAUCACCUCCUAUCCCUCCCCUACCUACUACUGGCCUCAAAUCAGGCAGGAUUACCCGCUGAACUUAA